rnacentral:ncRNA from 2 species
AUCAGCAGCGCCGCGACAGGUUCCCCAUCAAGGGGGAUGAAAAGGGAAGUCGGGUCAAAGCCCGCGCUGCCCCUGCAACUGUAAGCGGAGAGCGAACGGCCAUCAUGCCAUUGGAACCCCUCAGGGGCUUUCCGAGAAGGCGGCCGGACGCACCGACCCGCGAGCCAGGAGACCUGCCUGCCGCAGUCGUUCUUC